rnacentral:rRNA from 1 species
UACAGAGGGUGCAAGCGUUAAUCGGAAUUACUGGGCGUAAAGCGUGCGUAGACGGUUAUUUAAGUCAGGUGUGAAAGCCCAGGGCUCAACCUUGGAAUUGCAUUUGAGACUGAAUAGCUAGGGUGCGGAAGAGGGAAGCGGAAUUUCCGGUGUAGCGGUGAAAUGCGUAGAUAUCGGAAGGAAUACCAGUGGCGAAAGCGGCUUCCUGGUCCAGCACCGACGUUCAGGCACGAAAGCGUGGGGAGCAAACAGG